rnacentral:rRNA from 1 species
UGCCAGCAGCCGCGGUAAUACGAAGGGGGCGAGCGUUGUUCGGAAUAACUGGGCGUAAAGCGUACGUAGGCGGAUUAAUAAGUUAGAGGUGAAAUCCCAGGGCUCAACCCUGGAACUGCCUUUAAAACUGUUAGUCUUGAGAUCGAGAGAGGUGAGUGGAAUUCCAAGUGUAGAGGUGAAACUCGUAGAUAUUUGGAGGAACACCAGUGGCGAAGGCGGCUCACUGGCUCGAUACUGACGCUGAGGUACGAAAGAGUGGGGCGCAAACAGGAUUCGAUA